rnacentral:rRNA from 1 species
GACGGGACCGCACAAGCGGUGGAUGAUGUGGUUAAUUCGAUGCAACGCGAAAACCUUACCACCUUUGACAUGGCAGGAAUCCCGAAGAGAUUUGGGAGUGCUCGAAAGAGAACCUGCACACAGGUGCUGCAUGGCUGUCGUCAGCUCGUGUCGUGAGAUGUUGGGUUAAGUCCCGCAACGAGCGCAACCCUUGCCAUUAGUUGCUACGAAAGGGCACUCUAAUGGGACUGCCGGCGACAAACCGGAGGAAGGUGGGGAUGACGUCAAGUCCUCAUGGCCCUUAUGGGUAGGGCUUCACACGUCAUACAAUGGUCGGUACAGAGGGUUGCCAACCCGCGAGGGGGAGCUAAUCCCACAAAGCCGCUCUCAGUUCGGAUUGCAGGCUGCAACUCGCCUGCAUGAAGCCGGAAUCGCUAGUAAUCGCGGAUCAGCAUGCCGCGGUCGAAUACGUUCCCGGGCCUU